ensembl:lncRNA
UGAAACUGAAAAGUAAAAAUAACUUUCUGAUGGGAAUCUAUUAAAUAACAUUGAACAUAAAGGCUCAUUGGCAGUGUCAAUUGCCAGCUGCAAAAACAUACAGUAUUAGGAUGGGAAACCUACUAGGAAGAAGCAGGCACUUGGGAAGAGCACAUUAGUAAAAAUGCUAUUUUUAUUUGAAGGUUUGUACAGUCAAAGUUCAUCUUUCAGUGUUUUUUAAAGAUUAGAAUUUCAAUGACUUUAAAGCUUUAGGACCACACAGCCCUGGAGCCGCUGUCCUCGUGGGGACCGAAUGGGGAGAAGUUAAUGCAUUGUAUAUCAAAUCUUAUGCAUGUUGUGGACUUCACGAGCUGCUUUUGUUCUCUCCUUUUAUUUCUGCUUUUGCUUUGUGUUGUUAAACUGCAGAAAUAAUAAUAAUAGAUAAUUUGUGCCUGCAGAUAGUAGGUGAUGUUGAUUGUUGAAGAAAGCAAGCUACGCUGGAAACCACUAUAGAAGGCGAACAGCAUAGAGAGAUACUCAGAUCUUGAAUUUUACAAAGCGGACACUGAUGUGAAAUAUUCACCACAGCACCAUCACAGUCAGAAAGCAUCACUCCCCAAAACUGGACCUGGUCCACUUCUGUUGUGUUUUAUCCAUCGUGGAGAAUGGUUUUGACUGACAUUAAAAACACUUUCGUAGCCCUCCUGCUGCAAGAAGGCAGACUCAGACAAGUUGUCUCUUGCUUUCCUUCUCAUGCUGGAAGUUGUGAUAGAUUCUUCCCCUAAGCUUGUAUUUUCCUUCCCCAGCUGCAAAAAAUGGCUUCCAACACUCUUCGUUGGGAGAGCCGUCAGGUGGGGCCCUUGCUGGCUUCCCAAGGAAGGAGGGAUUCUGGUCAUUUAUUCUAAGAGCUUUCCAGCAUUUAUAGAGAUGCUAAAUUGAAGGCUUUCCAACACUUACAAAUGUAAACGUGUGUUCUUAUUAGUAAUUACAGCUGUUUGUGUGUAUUUCUUGGGCUGUGCACUACAGCUUCCUGAAGACAAUGUCCUGUCCAGGUGCCAUCUCUAAGUAAAUUAGCAUUACAGGAACCUGUUUAAAGUCAGAUGUGGCUUUGUAUAGUUUUCCCUCUCAAUAGGCAACACCUGGUAAAUGGUUGUGCCCUAUUACAUCACUUCAAAUAAGUUUCCAUGAACCCAGGUAUCAAAGCGGAGGUACCAUUUGCUGCUGCUCAUUUCCUCACCUAUGACAUUCCUAAGAACGUUUCUCAGUUUAGCACUGAGUGUGUCACAGUGGGAGUGUUUGCAGACUGAAUGAGUGAUGUCCUCUUUGCCUCAGCUAACAAAAAAGCAAGCAAUGUGUGUCUUAUUUAAAUUUAAUCUUGAUCCUUGGACAUAAACCUCAACUACUGCUGCCCUGGCCUGAGUUUGCCUACCCCAGAUGACUGUAGAUGCUGAAUAAAAGAUGCUACAUGGAUAAUGUUGCAUUUAGCACCUUAUCAUAUGUUUUAUGUCUUUUUGGGGUACCCUGUGAUAUCUGCCAAGAGUUCAGCUGGUCUCCAUAGUGGUUUAUGUUGAGAGCACUGAAUCUUGUCUGGGUUUUUUUUUUUUUUUGGUGGAGGAUCUCUACAAAGAAGCACUGCUUAAUCCUUAGAGAUCGACUUACUUUACAGAUCUGACCUUAUUCUUUUCCCCCUUCCUUUCCCUGCCCUUCCCAGAUGCUUUAUUUGCUCACAUUAACAAGUUACACGCAGGUGAAAAGGCUCUCAUUCUACAUGGACGGGUUGAUACAUAUGAAAACUCAGUGCCUGCCCAAAGACCUGCCAAGUGGAUUUUUGAUGCUGAGGAUGUUUGGUAUGUAGGCAGAACUACACGAAAUAUUGCAGUCUUCAGACUUCAGGGCCCAGUUUGACUUCAGGGAGAUGGAUGGGAUGGCAUGACUGCCUUUGGGCUCCAUGGCAGGCAGGUAGGCUUCCAGAUCACUGCAAGGCUUCCUUAUCACUGCAAGGCGACCUCCAGGAAUUUACCACAGCUUGUACUUAUUAAUGUUCCUUACACUGACUGACAACAGUGGUGUAAACUGACUUAAUGAGAAAUGAUAACAUUUGAUCUUUUGGGGCUUUCUCUCCCAGAACACUUCUCAUGGUGGAAAGUGCAAGCGUUCAGAAUGCGGUGCGUCUGCUUCACCAAGAGAAACAAAAAAGAGUUGUCUUAGCAGGCUUUAGCUAGAGGCUGAGUUUCUGGCAUCUUGGAAGAGAAUGGGAAGUAAAUCCUGUACAGCUGGGAAAAGAUUCAGUGUGAGGUUCUGUGAGAAGGAUUUGUACUGCGAAGGAAAAAGAGCUUCUGUCCUUUAUCUUUUGUGCUUGUGGUUGCAGUCAUUCCAUUAAUUUGAUGAUGUAAAUGUUAAGCACGUGGCGAAGAUGACUUCAGAAGUCUGACCUUUCAAUUUUCUUAUUUCCCUUCCUUCAGCUGAAUGGGGGGAGGUAGUUAUGGAAUCGACAACAGACCCUGCGAGGACCAGAUCAGAAUAAGUUCCAGGGGACUCUCAAGUAAAUUCCAUUUGUCCUUAGCAUGAUGUCUCCAUGACCUGAACUCACUCUGGUGACAGGUAAUCAUUGACUGCAUAUCUAUAACUCCAAGGGCAGAGCAGGGGAGGAACACCCUGUGUUUGUGCUGCUUAUUUACAUCAGGCUCUUAAACCAUUCAUUUAUGGACACACAGGGCACCAGCACCUAUAGUUGUGAACAGAGAGCAGCUGGCCAUGUGAGAUACCUACAACUGCCACUGAAAGCACAGAAAAAAAAGGGUGCAGAAAAAUAGCAGCUACUUGCUGCAGUACAAUGGUUUCUAAGAGUUGUGCUUCAGGUGAUUAUUCAAGGAAAAGUAUUGUGACUUGCAUGCAGCCCCAGCCCCAGCAGGCUUCUCCUUUGCACUCAGAAGACAUUUUGGGACCAACCUUUCACUUCCUGUGCUUAACGCAUCAGCAGGAAGCAGUUCUAAAGCAAAUACAGGAGAUGCUCACGGCGUGGAAGCAGCAACUGUGCUGCUGAAAGAACAUUGACAUGAAUUACAAGGAGUCGCCAACAUGGGGUGUUUUCUAGGGUUAACUUUAAAAAGGCCUGGGGAAUAAAAAUAAACAAAUUAAUAAAUAAAAGUACAUUGCACCAGGUUAUCUUUUAAAUCUGAUUUUUAGUUUACUUGAAUUUUCUCCAUAUUAAAUGACAGAAUCAUAGAAUUGCUCCGGAAAUCAUAGAAUUUGCUUGGAAAAGACCUUAAAGAUCAUUGAGUCCAAUCAAGACCCAACCAUACUACCCAAACUCUAACAACCCUCCACUAAAUCAUGUCCCUGAGCACCACAUCCAGAUGGAUUUUAAACACAUCCAGGGAUGGUGACUCAACACCUCCCUGGGGAGCCCAUUCCAGAGCUUAACAACCCUUUCUGUAAAGAAAUUCUUCCUGAUAUCCGACCUAAACCUCCCCUGGUGCAGCCUGAGGCCAUUUCUCCUCAUCCUGCCACCAGUGAGAAGAGACCAGCCCUGCUCUGCUGCAAUCACCUUUCAGAUAUUUGAGGUAUUUAUGAACUGUACCCUGUUCUGUGGUGAUCCACAAUUAGGAAACAAACAAACAACGAGACUAACAAGGAUUUGUUUCCAAUAAGCAAUAUAUAUUAUAUUAUAUUAAACAUAAGACAAAACAUUUUCGGAGAAGAUAAUAAUGAUUCCAUUCCUGAAAUGCCAUGCACAUCUGAAUGAAUGCUUUUAUUUGUCGUAGGGGCUAGAGUGUCUUCAACAUUUGGUAAGUGCUGAUGUUAAGCAGUUCAAACACACCUCCACAUCUGCUGUAUUGAUGCAUGCAUCACCUGCACAGUGCUUGGCACUUUUCUAUACCACUACAGUACAGACUGAAUACCAAGACCUAUAGUAAAGGCUGGGACUCUGCUGAUGAGGUAGUCUGGACACUUACACUCUGCUGUGGGAAAUCCUUACCAAGAGACAUACAUUCUUUUAACUCACUUUUUCCUUUUUGGUUUCCAUGCCUCAGUGGGCUGAUGAGUGGCUUGAUGGAAGAAAAAUUGUCCCUGGAGAAGAUUUCUAAUUUUGCUCCCUGGGUGAGCAGAAACUUUUAAAGAGCAGGCUGCAGGCUGACACUGGUGGAGGAGGGCUGGGAAAGGUCAGAGACCCCUGAAUCAUAGCUUUGUUUUCGGCAGCUCCAUUGGUAAAGCCCCAUAGACAUUCUCCAAGGCUCUCUGUUUAAGAUGAGAGACAGCUCAUUUCCCCUCCUAGAUUUAUAAGACUGUUUAAAACUGUGACAUCUCUAGGGCCCUUGAGGCCAGGACCUAGGGAUGAAGCUGGGAAAACUGCAAACACAGAAAUUAAAUACAUUUUUAUAAAGGCAUUGCCAGUUUUCUUCCACUAAGACUCUUGUAGUCAAGAUGCUCCUCCUUUGCUACAGCAUAAGCAUGAGCAGUCUGCAUCGGAGGGCAAAAUCCUUCAAACUCUGUGUCUCUAAACUCCAAAACAAUCAUUUUUUACUAUUUGUCCUUAAAAUAAUAUGUUUUUUUUUUCUUUCACUAAAGUGACUCUUUCUGUAUCUCUCAUCCAAUAGUCGCAAAUUAGCUGUUCUACUACAGAAGUGAAUGUUAUAGAUAGCAGCAGAUCUAUUCUUCUAUGUAAACUUUGUAAAUACGUUUAAAAUGGAUUUCUUGGAAAUCAAAACCUUCACAGCAACGUUUUUUGUAUUCAAUUGUGGAGUUUAAACUUUUUUUUUUUUUUUAAAUUACUGUUCUAACAAUUUUAGGAGCUUUUUCAAAUGAAGCAUUUCAUUCUAAAGCAGAAAAUCUAUGUCAUGGAAGUACUGUCAUCUAUUUGUGCACUCUAUUUAUAAAGUCUUUCAGGUUACCAGAAUACAUUUCCUAGAAGGCUGAACUUUGGUUUUCUUUUACACCAAAGACAGUAGAGGGGAAAUAUCAGAUAAUUGGUAGGAAACAGAAAAAUCUUAUAUUUUUGUUCCCCUUUCCCUUAUGCACACUCAGCUGAGCUGCCUGCAAUCACGCAGGAUUCAGGAACUCCAGGAAUUCCUUAUCUGCAAUGCAAGGUUGAAACAUACCACGUUUAACUUAAUAUUAACUUAAUAUUCCAGUGUUUUUUUUUUUUUUUUUUUUUUUUUUUUUUUGUAAAAAGUGGAAAUAGAUGGAAUAAGAAGAGGGAUAGCAGUCACAUACCCAAUGCUACCAGAAACAAGAAAGUUCUUACCGCAUUCCACAUUGACACUUGCCUUUUCCUCCUGAAAGGUUCAUGGUAUUCAGCAUUUGUUUUAGUAAGACUUGAUGAUCAUAUCCAUAUCUCGUGGCUGCUGGUGUUACUAACAGUUACACGUGGAUGUCCUUGCAGAGGGGCAAAUUACCUUGUGCAGUCUUAGUAAUGGCAGGAAAAUAUGACUUCCUUGGCCAUUAGUCUUAGCUUAAAGCAGGAAAAGGAAAGAUAAGUAUAUCUGAAUGACAAAAAUUCUCAGUUUAUGUUCUUCAGACUUGACAGAAGUAUUAUUUGGCACUUGCAGGGCAUGUAUCAUAAAUAAAUGACUUAUUUUUAAUAUACAUAUUUAAGUGCUAAGUUACACUGCUUUUCUUAACCCAUUAUUAUUAUUCCUGCUCAUAUUGUGGGUCUGUUGAAAUCUGAGCUCAGGCCUCGUUUCAGAGGAUUUCUGUUUUCUUCACUUCCUGCUCACACAGCUCAUCAUGUGAGUGAAGUUUGUUCCACAUCUCGACUAUUUCCUAGAAAUAGAUCCUCUCCUUUGUACCAUGUUAGUACUGGCACACCAGUCAGACAGAUGGAUUCUAUCUGCUCUCACGUGCGAUGAAAUUAGUACUGAGUUCAUCUAAACCACUCCAGCAUGCAAUGUAAUUCUUUUAUAUCUGUACUGAUUUAUUAAUUAUGAAGAUCAAAGCUAUGAGUUAACCAACAAAUAAUUUUCAGUCUUCCUUGCAUCUCAGUGUUUUCAUGUACUUGGACUUCAAUUGACCAGAAGGCCGUAGCUUUGCACUUUGAAAUUGUUUGAUUUGACAGGUUCUGUAUUUGCGACAUCAAAAUAUGUUGCUAUGGAAAAUGUUACAAGUUCUAAUUAAAAAUGCAGAGGUCACAAGUUUCCCAGAACCAGUAGGGCGUAGAUCUUAGGAGAAAAGAAGCACAACAUAAAAAAUCCAGAGAUAUGUCAGCCUGCAAUUUUCCAGAUCUGAAAGGAGUGCAGCAAGUGUUCAGAAAAAAUACAUGAGACUGGAAUUUUGAUCAAGUUCCCUUGUACUCAUUCAUAUGCUGUGUGUAUACCUUCCCAUUGGCACAAAUUGCCUUUGGAAAUCACGCAGAGCUUUGAAAUGUCCUAAUACAAAUUAGAGGAGAGUUAGUAAUUUCAUGUAAAUUAGUAGGGAGAGAAAGUGGACCUGCCUGGUUGUUCUUUCAAAUCAAAUGCCAGCAUUGAAAUACCCUCUAUGUAAUAUCCAAUAUCCAUCUACAUGCAUGCAUCACUUCCUCUGAAAGUUCGUCCAUGUUCACUUAUGACUCAUUGAUUUUCCUUCUCUUCAAUACCUCUUUAUUUGUUUAACUGCUUCUACUUUCCCCCUCUAUAUGUUUUUCUUUGCAAACAGCCCUUGUGUCUUUCUGUUCCUCUUGCUCCAGUUCAGCCAAACCACAAGAACCAAUGGUACAAGUGCAGGCCUGAGGCAGUAACAUAUCUGAGCUGGAACAUCUGUGAGAAGAUGUACCCACAAACUAUUCCAAUCAGAACCUAGGAGUAUCUCAGCUGUAAUGAAUUAAUCCAUGCUCAGUGCCAUGCUGUUAUGAACACACCUGUUUUGGAGAUUUCUGCAUGACUGUGUUGCGUAACACAAGACUUUUCCACUUUCACUCAAAAUACAUUCUGUUUCUUAUCUUUUUAUGGUGUUGGAACUCUCAAUGCUUUCUUUUUUCUUUCUUCUUUUUAUUGUUUUUCCAAAGCAGUGAAGUGUUGUUACUACAGCACAGGACCAAGUCAUCUUCAGUUUCCUCUUGGGCCAGUUGCUGAGAGUCCUUCUGUACUACGCAGGUUGGAAGCUUGCAGCCCGGUCCGUCCUCAAACCCACCUUCUGGGUUUGCUCACUCAAAUGCUCUUCUAGAUAAUAGAAAACAAAUACCACUGAGCUGACUGAGUUUGCAAGCAUACAAACGCACGUGAGCACUGUAAUGCAUUCUCUGCUGGGAGGCAGCUGUGCAGCAGUAGAUCUCAUUGUGUUACAUGUUCACCUUCUUGUAUCAGCCAACACUCAGGCUGAGAUUCAUGGGGCCCAUUGAGAAUCAUUCUCUCGACAAAAGUGCAGCCAGAAGUGCUCCUUGUGAGUAAGCAGACAAUUGUUUUUAUGUACAUUUCGUUAAACCACAUGUGAACUUUUGCAUAAGAUUUCAUUUAUUUGCUGAAGAUCUCACAAAAGGUGCAGCAUGAGACUCAUGAGGUAGACUUACCAUAGUAUGUAUGUACACAUAAGCUUUUCUUUUUUUCUAACGAUCUUUUCGGCGUUUCUGCAAGAAUUCAAUACUUGGUUUGUUGCCAGAGUUAACAUGUGGGUGACUGACACGGCGGUGGCCUCAGGCCACAAUCCUUAAACUGAGAAGAUAGAAGGUCAAGUGGAAUACAAGAGCAUGAAAUGGACUUUGUUGUCAGUAUAGGCAUUUUUUUCAUAACUGCAGAAACUGGCAUUGGGAUGAUGGAUUUCAAAGCCUUUCUGCAUCAUUUUGGUAUAAUAGAAAAUACCAUAAUUGAUAAAUCAACAGUAGAUCCCCUCCCCCCCCUCCAGCACUACUUUUUUUUGCUUUAAACUACCGUGGCUAAUUAGGACAAGGACUGGAUGCCUUCAUGAGCUCUUACAAAUGCCGAUCUAUAGUUUUACGAAAGUAGGAAAUGUCAUUCAUCUGUAUUUAAUUAAACUUUUUAAAGUCUAUGAACAGAGCUCAUUACCACGAAAAAUUCUAGGCAGCUGCCUUAAAGCAGUUUCUACAGUUACUUCCUUCUUUCUCUGUUAAUAAGGAAAGAAUUUCUCAGAUAGCUACAGGAUAAAUUGGGGAUCAAGAUCCAAAUUAUUUUGUUUUUUAUUGAACUGAAGCAGUGCCAGAUCUUAACUUCCUUAUUCUAAGAGGAGAGACUGUGGAUUCAGAUGGCAGCUUAAAGGGCAGCCAUGCUUCUUAGAAGGUACAAACCUUCUGCCUUACUCAUUUCUACAUUAGUAACUUACUUGAUCCUUGUUAAGAAGUAGACUAAUUAGGCUAAUCAUUUAAAAUUUCCUCCAGCUUAAUAUGCUAUUAGAGACUUUAAAUAAUGCUUUCCUCCUUUUUGUGUGCAGAUAGUACAGAUCUGUUUUCCAUCAUAAAGCAACAGAAAGCACGCUACAGUCAUUUUACAUGAGCUUAGUAUUUUCCUAUGUUAAUUGUGGACAUACUUUUACUGCUGUCUGCCUUUCCUCUUAAUUAAUGCUUUUAAAAAUAAGACAGAUACUGUGAAAAGGCAUUAUCUUUAAGGGACAUAUACCACUCACUAUGAAAAAUUAACUCUAACGCAGCCCAAACCAGAACAGUUGCAGUGCUUCCUAGGAAAAUCAGUGCCAGCUCUCAUGCACCACAUAAACUGAGAUUUGUUGUUUCUUACGCAACAGCUAGAAAAAUGUCUAGGGCCUUGCCUAGGAGUUGAUAGACAGAUUUCAAUAGUCCCUGUAAAUAUUUUGGAUGUAGAAAUUGAAACCAAAGGGAAGUUUACUUAUUAUGCUUGCUAUAUAAGAGAAGUUGCUUGCUAUGUGUCUUACAAAAUACAGCAGUUCCUUGCAAGGCAAGCAAUGAGCUUACAUCUACCUAUUAUGCACAUGCACACAUGUAUGUGAAAACAAGUUGGGCAUAAUAAUCAGUGUUUCCUGCACCAUGACUCAGUAUCCUUUUGAACAACUUAGUUCUUGCUCUGUCAGGUUUUAGUAGUACUUUAGUUCACAACAAAGGGCAAAGUUCUUGAUGAAUCAAAAUGAGGACUCACUGUUUGGUCAUGGUAACAAACAGGCAUAGCUGAUCACCAGGUGACAAACAGUUUUACGUACAGAAACAUUUGGAUCCGUAUCUUGCAAAUGUUCAUCCCAGCUGUCAUGAAGAAAGAAAAACGGUGUUGUCUUUUGCUGUCUGACACUUGGCUGCCUUUUGUCUUUGCUUUGAGUCAUCCACUGAUUUCCAGCAGAGAAUCAUCAGGCCGAUGAAACUGUACAACAAAGUCACUUUUGUAUUCUAGAACACACAACUCAACCUGUUUAGAUAGCAACAAAUAAUUCGUACUAAGCAAAAGUCCUAAUACAUGGUAAGACAGUAUUUAUUUUCUUCAGAAAUUGAAAUAAAUGUAAAUUUAGCAUCAAUUUCCAUCCCCUUAUAAGAAGAUUCUUUGCUUUCUUACUUCUUCGGCUUAUGGGCUAUUUUAAUUUCAUUAACAAAAGUGGCAUUUUUCUAGCUCUGUGUCUAAACCGACUAAUCCAAAUUCUGAAUCUUGAGGGGGGUGGAGAUCAAGAAAAAUUUCAAACUAGAGUUGGAUGUCAUACAACACAGCAGUCAGAACCUUCCUGUUUGAGUUCAGGGUUUACUUUGGUCUGUCAGAGGAACUACAUUUGUAAUUACAAUUACCGAGGGCUCCAAUACUUCAGAAAGUUAUUCUGGAAAGUUUUCUUCUAGGUGGGUUAUCUGACAUGGAUGGAGUCUCUUUAGAAUUGAGUUAGCAUUAAGUUAUUAACCAAUAGCUGAUCUCGUGCUUUGGUAACAAGGAACUACAUUAUUAAACAUGGACAGGUAGAUAGAAGAUGGAGAGAAAAGAAGUUUGUUUAGCUUCAUCAUUAGAACUAUGACCAAAUUAACAUAACAUUUUUUCCACUCUUAAGAAUUUAUGCUGCAAAUCUUUAAAACACAGUCUGUCAUAUUCUUUUUAAAAUAAAGGAAAACAUUCUUUUAAAAGAAUUAUACCAUCUGGAUACAUUUUCCGCUUUUCAGAUAACAGUGCAUGCUCUAUGGAAGUCAAGCUAUAGAGUAGCACUGGUCCUUUUCUACAUGUUAGGUUUUGGAUAUUUAUUUUUCCUCCUAUGUCCUUCUCUUGAACACUGUAUGCAGUAAUUAUGGGCCAUCCAUCUUAACGGUGAAACUUCAGAACUAAGAAUCCUGUAUGAUGAUCAGGGGCACAAAAAAGAGACUGUUAAGUCAGUGAACAUGGAGAAGGUAAGUGGGGAACAAUUCUCGUACUUCUGCAAUGCAAGAAAUGCAAGCUGACAUCUGUGCUGUCUAGCAGGUGAUUAAAACAAGGAAAUGGAACUAUAAAACAUAUUCCAUUGACAUGACUGUGAAAGGUAAAAGUAACAGCUGAGACAAAGAAGGGUUGGUUAGGACAGUUCUUGGUGUAUUAGUAUAGUGUGUGUUCUUGAGCACAAUCAGCUCACAAAAGAGAAGAAGCUCCAUGGUUUUGUGACUGCGUUAUUCUCUGCAAGCUGUGCUGCCCAUUCAUGUCAGAGAAGAGUUCAGUCCAGUCUUGGUGUGGUUUUGGUUGUUUUCCAAAUAACACAGAAUCAUAGAAUCAGCGCUAUGAGAUGAGUGAGCUCCUCCUCCUGUUACCAUCAACUUCAUAAUGGGUAUCUAUGUCAAUUUUAAAAUAGCUGGUCAAACAACUGCUAACUGUUGGAGUCCCCCAAGAUCUCUGCACCUCCUCUGACAAAUUGUGCUCCUUCAUCCUUCAUUUUCAGCUUGGCUGUAAGAUGUGCCAUCUCACCAGACUGGUGGGACAGCUGGUUUGCAACGAGCUCAAAGAUAAAGAUAAUUACAGUGUCUGCAAUUUGUCCAGUUCACUUUCUCUAAUUUCCUGUUUGCUGGUGCUCAAAACAACAAGUGCAUUCCAUCAUGAAAGGAAGCAGCCUACUGACAGGGAACUAGAUGGAGUAGAAAGCAGCUGUGCUGCUGUUACAAACAAACUGUAUUCCAAAAACUCAUAGCAUUGAUUAUACGUAUCAGAGCAGUGAUACCAUGUGCAAAAAAAAAAAAGAGAAGAGCAGCUCCCUACUUCCAUAAACUAAGGAUGCAACAGAAUAUGUCCCUCUGGUGCUUUGGAUUCUCUCAUUCAGGCUCUAAAACUGCAGCCCUAGGGAUGCUUAGCAAAAGGGAGCUCAUACAAAAUAGGCAGGUUCUCACCUUGCUUAUUUCCAAAACCAUUGAGUUUGAAGUUCAAAUUCAAAUGACUUUUUAUUUGUUGGCAGCAUACAGUGAGCCAGUGUUUAAAAAUGACAUCUGGCUGUACUCACUGUCUAUGCCCCAAACCAUAUUUUCAGCUGACAGCGAGCCAUGAUGCUCACUGAUGGUAGGUGACCCAUUUUUCCUCUAUGCAUUCAGUGUGGCUGUUUCUUCUUCACGCUGAUUCAGCAUCUGGUAACUGUACUGUAGUGAGUUUUCUGAUGCGAGAUGUACAUAUUUAGGAGCGGGGGAGAUUGCUAUGACUCUCUGAAAGUUUCAGACUGAUCAUGGAAUGCCAAUUGCUUGUUCUUCCCUCACAUUUAGAAGCACUGUCCAUGCUGCCAAAUCCAAGUGCAGUUAUGGCAGCUGCCUCUGCAGGUGCACUUGUUUUUAAUCACUGUUUCUACUGUACUUGGGUCAAGGGACUCAAAGUGAAAAGGAAAUGACCACAGGAAAACAGAGGUAAGACAUUAAGUUACUUAAUAUCUCAACAUUUACCCCAGUGCAGGAUCAGCUUAUGCCUGCAUCACUUCUGCAUUUAAAAACAAAUAAAGAACACCAGCACAGUGUAUGAUCAUGAAAACAGAGCAUGAAGAAGCAUGAUGCUUAGAUGUCCCAUUCUACAAGUGAAUGAAGGAAAAGACACUUCUAGCGACAGAGGUCUUUCAGAAGUAUCUAAUUAGCCAAAGUUACUUUAAUUGAAUAGCUUGUACUAAUGCUCCGUAAGCAAAAUGUGCAGCAAGCAACUCACUCUUCUCCCUUGAUCCACAUAGUCCAGUCGUCUCCUCUCAUCUAAGACACCUCUUUCUCACAUUUCUUCCACACCUCCUAUGAAAAGUACCUGAAAUGUAAAGAAACGUCAAGAAAGAU